rnacentral:rRNA from 1 species
GACGAACGCUGGCGGCGUGCUUAACACAUGCAAGUCGAACGGGUCCGCCUUGUUUUUUGCGGGGUGGGUCAGUGGCGAACGGGUGAGUAACACGUGAGUAACCUGCCCCUCACUUCUGGAUAACCGCUUGAAAGGGUGGCUAAUACGGGGUGUUCUGGCUGUGCCGCAUGGUGUGGCUGGGAAAGAUUCACUUUUGUGGUGUUUUGGUGGGGGAUGGGCUCGCGGCCUAUCAGCUUGUUGGUGGGGUGAUGGCCUGCCAAGGCUUUGACGGGUAGCCGGCCUGAGAGGGUGGGCGGUCACACUGGGACUGAGAUACGGCCCAGACUCCUGCGGGAGGCAGCAGUGGGGGGUAUUGCACAAUGGGCGGAAGCCUGAUGCAGCGACGUCGCGUGAGGGAUGGAGGCCUUCGGGUUGUGAACCUCUUUCGCCGGUGAAGGAGGUCCUGUUCUUUGUGGUGGGGCUGACGUAGCCGG